ensembl:lncRNA
GAAAGGAGGAAGGUGGAGGGAAGGAGUGGAGAAAGGAGGAAGGGAAGGAAUGGAGAGGAGGAAAGUGGAGGGAAGGAAUGGAGAAAGGAGGAAGGUGGAGGGAAGGAGUGGAGAAAGGAGGAAGGGAAGGAAUGGAGAGGAGGAAAGUGGAGAGAAGGAAUGGAGAAAGGAGGAAGGUGGAGGGAAGGAGUGGAGAAAGGAGGAAGGGAAGGAAUGGAGAGGAGGAAAGUGGAGGGAAGGAAUGGAGAAAGGAGGAAGGUGGAGGGAAGGAGUGGAGAAAGGAGGAAGGGAAGGAAUGGAGAGGAGGAAGGGAAGGAAUGGAGAGGAGGAAGGUGGAGGGAAGGACUGGAGAAAGGAGGAACGGAAGGAAUGGAGAGGAGGAAGGGAAGGUAGAGAGGAGGGAGGAGGAAGGGAAGGAGUGGAGAGGAGGUUGUUGGAAGGGAAAGAGUGGAACGGAUGAAGGGAAGGAGUGGAGAGGAGGAAGGGAAGGUAGAGAGGAGGAAGGGGAGGAGUGGAGACGAGGAAGGUGGAAGGGAAGGAGUGGAGAGGAGAAUGGAGGAAGCGAAGUAGUGGAGAGGAGGAAGGUGGAAUGAUUGGAGAGGAGAGGGGGAAGGAUGAAUGGAAGGAGUGGAGAGGAGGAAGGUGGGAGAGAAGGAGUGGAAAGGAGGAAUGUGGAAGGGAAGGAGUGGAGAGGAGGAAGGUGGAAGGGAAGGAGUGGAGAGGAGGAAGGUGGAAGGGAAGGAGUGGAGAGGAGGAAGGUGGAAGGGAAGGAGUGGAGAGGAGGAAGGUGGAAGCGAAGUAGUGGAGAGGAGGAAGGUGGAAUGAUUGGAGAGGAGAGGGGGAAGGAUGAAUGGAAGGAGUGGAGAGAAGGAAGG